rnacentral:ribozyme from 1 species
AAAAUGAAGGAAAAAAUAAAAGAAGUGGUCUGUACACGGAUGAUUGUUUCUUCUUUUUUUUUUUUCUUGUUUCCUUUUGGUGUUUGUGUGUGUGGUUGGGUAUGUUGCAUUCUUUUUCCUUCGGGAAGAAUUGCAAAAAAAGGACGUAGAGAAAAGACGUCUCUCUUAUGAACAUCUGAUUUUUUUUUUUGGUUUGU